AUUCUACAGCUUUAGAAUGAUAAAAAUAAAAUUCAGUAUGGCAUUCUUGAUUUCAGAUCAAUACUGUUUGCAGCAAGUUUGAUAGAAGUGGAGGAAGACAAUGUAUACCCUCUUGAAGAUUGUAAGACCAAAUGUUUUCAACCAAUUGACCAAUGAUGUUGAACAUGACAAUUUUUCAUCACUUUUGCCAGAAUUCAGGUGUCAACAGUGAGCAGCUUCAAAGUUUGAGAAAAUGGCUCUCAUAAGCUCUUCUCACAUUUUUAUGUUAACAUGAGGGGCGAACUCAAGUAAGUUAUGCUGUUAACAAGUUUAAUAGACUACGAGUAGUCCCUCUUACGCUUAGU